UAGCCCAAGCUAUUAAAAAUUAGUAUAUUAAAGUUUUGGUUUGUGUUGUAGAAAUGUGUGCGUAUUGCCAGCUGUAGCUGUUGCUCCUCCAUAUUUGUAUGUAGCAAAACCUCCUUAUACCCACAAAAUGAAGGUCCUGAAGUUUAAUCUGAAGGAACAGAUACUUCCCUACUUCCAUUCAAUGCAGCCUCAUUUUCUACAGUUCCAGAUCCCCGACUGGUGCAGCGUGAUUCAGGCAAGGUGGAAGCUCUGGCUGUCUUGCUUCAAAAAAGCUGAAAGCAAGAGGACACCGUGUAUUGAUUUUGACGCAGAUGAUUCCAGUUCUUAAUAUACUGGAGUUUUUCGUGAACUUCCAUUUUCUCACAUACGUAAGAGUUAAUGAAAGUGGUGCUCACAGUUGGCAUUAUCUGGAAUCCAUUAAAAAGUUCAAGCAAGAGACGCGAUUCUCCUGUGCUAUUCCUUCUUCCCACACUCCUUCCACAGGUGUCAGCCAUGUAGAUGCGAAUACUGUUGUCUUCUGUGACACUGAUUUAGAUCCACUGAUGGAUACAAAGGCUAAAGAACGGUGUGAUAAAAUUGCGAUGGAGAUAUUCACAUAUACAGGCUUAUACGUGGUAAUUCUGUUGAAGAGAGGCUGUUGAGAAAAGGUAUUAAACAUUGGAUUCAAGUGGCUGCUCAGGGAGAUGAUUGUUCAACAACUUUUUAACUCAGGUAUUGUGACAUUAAGAAUGUGAGCAGUUCUUUAAUGUUAUGUAAAAAAUUAGUGCCUACUAGGUCAGAGUCAGAAUUUGAAACAUUAUCUAAUUUUCUAUUUAUUUCCAGACUUAUUUGGAGGUCAGUGGUAUGUGAUCACAGUUAAAAUCAGUAAAAAACUUGAGUUCUUAGCUCAUGUACAAAAUCACAAGAUAAAAACAUCUAGAAAGAAAACCGUUUGUUCCAAUGAUAGUUUUAUGCUAUUUUUGGCAUUGUUUUAAUUAAACAGAAACAGCAUGUCCUGCAGCAAAAGGUGUCAAAUAUGUCUGUAACCUGACUUUUCUAAACUUAAAUUUAGGAUGAUUAAAAAACUUUUGACAUCACACAUUGUCUUACUGAAUACUUGAAAACAUGUUUCCAUAAGGUUAUUUGCUCUGAAAAUGGAAAAGAGGAUUCCAGGAAGUUUACAGAAGGGACACUAUCUGAGAUAUGAAAUUACACAGAUUCAUAGUUGUGUGAUUCCAGAAAUACCAUGGUUCCUUCACAGUUAGAACAGCUGCCUAGCUUUGUGGAUCACUUGUGAUGAUUUCUCUUGUUUUAUGUAAAACUUUAGAAAUAUUUGAAAUUUAUUUUCCUGUGCAACAAUCAAACAACUUUCAUAAGGUACUUUAUUUCCACUCCAUUUACAUGAAACAGUUCCAUGCAAACUUAAAUACUGAAACAAUUCUGGGAGGUAAUGUGACCUUGUAGAUAGAUCUGUUUACCUACUGAAACAUUUAAGUCACCAAAUGUUCUCCUGAGAAUUGAAGUGCUUUGGACUAAAUUGUAUCUUGUGAGAUAAGACUGUUUUACAGUCCCGUGCUUUGUGUUUUUUCUUCAAGGCCUUGGAUCUGUUUUUUCUUAAUCAUGAAAUGACUAUUCUCGGCAUUCCCUAAAGUCUGUCAGAUUCUGAUUGUCUCCUUUUCCCUUUGGCUACUUGUGCAGAACCCAAAUAGCAGCCUGCUUGCUAACAACCGGUCAAGAGUGUGCGUAAUAACUUGGAGGGGUUUCUCUCUUUUUUUUUUUUUUUUACUUUUUUUUUAUUUUCGGUUAAGAAAAUAGAAGCCAAUAGUUGCAGCCUAUUCUCAGUGAUACUGGUGGGACAUGAACAGACUAGCUAAGGACCAGAAUAUCAGAUUUUUGGUCCUUAGGUCUCUUUUCUACCUUAAUUAUGGUGCUAUUAUUUGUAACUGAAAUAAAUACAUUUAUUGGUUGGUUUAUUUUUCUGCUUGGUUUUAAAUCACUGGUUAUUUUCAUGUUUCUAAUUCAAAAGCUAACUAACUAGCAGAGUGUCAAAAUGUUUUUCCGAACAGCUUAAGCCAAUUGAAAAGUAUGUGUUGAAUUUCUUUAAUCGUUUCAUACUUUGAUCAAAAAAGCCAGAAAGCCAAUAAGGAGUUAAAAACUGCAAAUAUAAAAUAGGAAUAUCAUCAUGCCAAGAAGCUGGAAAAGGCAGAAGAAAAAUUUCAGCAGGAAGUGAAAGAGGAACUCUUAAUGUAUACCAGACAAGAUGCUUAAAACAAGGUAACAUCAAGGGAUCUCCAAGUCCCUGCUUUUUGAAGAAUUUUCACGUUGUGACUGUGAGCCAUGUAUGUCUGUUGGGUUCACACUGCACUGGUCUCGUGCCCUUACACAGUUACUGUGCUCUCGAAGCUGGCACUCUGUGGACAGUUCUAAUUCUGUAGAGUAGCAGGUUGCAGUGUUGGCAGAACUGUGGGUUGGUAGGUUGACUUGGAAUGGAAAUGCACAGUCCUGUAUUAAGGUAACAAUAACUGAAGGAAGAGAUGGAGAAAAAUACUGAAAAUUAAACAUCAUUCCUUUUUUUUUUUUUUUUUUUUCCUAGUGUAAUUUUUGAAUUAUUGUUAUUUCAAACAAGCUCAGGUUUGUAAAUGCUAGGUUCUGGGCUGGAUGAUGUAUUGAGGUUAUCAAAAAUUCUUUGUUUCUCAUACAAGAAUUUGUCUGUGAUGGACCAGAUGGAGAAAUAGAAAUAACAG